UGGCCUACGCACUUGAAACAAUGUCACUGCCGAUGUUCCAAUGUUGCCCCUCAUUUCAUCCUCUUCAUUCAACUCUCUACAUUUGAACUUUGACCAAUGCCUUUGAAACUCCUCUGUCUCCUCGGGAAUCACAAAGUUAAUUUUCGAUAAAUAAGAUAUCUCCAAGUCAAAAUGUUGCUUCUGAAUUUUAUCCAUCAAUUGAUGCUCGAUGCUCGGCUUAUAAGGGAUUCCAAUUGAAUUAAUUUUUGGAAUUAAAUCUUCGGUAACCUGCAAAAUAGAAUUAUCCAAAAUAGGGAGGGAAUUGUUAGUUAUCGCCAACGCCUCCUCAACUCCACUCUCCCUUUCAUUUAAGCACAUUUCCAACCCUUCUUUCAUCUCCAAAGACUCUUCUUCAUUUUCACCCGUAACUCCAAUUCCAUCUAUUCAUUUUCACUCUCAGCUUUCUUUUCACUUUUCCAUGGCUCUACACCCUUUUUCUCACAAUCAACCACUUCACAAUUUUCUCUUUCACACCUUUGCUCCACCAUGUUAUUAAUUUGAGAAUUUAUCAAGUCACAAAUCUCUGCCAAUUCCCGCUUAUAAUCCAACCCAACAAUCUUGCUUGAUGUCCUACCCGCACACCUCGCAAUAGGCGUUUUCUUUUCCCUUGGAUACUCAUCCCCAUAACAUCUCCUAUGCUUCUCCCCAAAUUCCAUUUCUCGUCGAUUCAUCCUAUAUUGAUUUGGCGCAUAUCGUCUCCUCAUAAUAUGCCUCAACUCAUCCCAAGUUUUAAUAUGCCUCUCACCAUACCUUCGCUUAGAUAUCGU
rnacentral:lncRNA from 1 species